UCCCUAUUUCCAAUAUGGUUUAAAAAGAUAGCACUUAUAUAAAUAUAUAUAUAAAUACAGAUCUAAAAUAAUAAUCUCAGGUUAAUACUAUUAUGCUUGAGUUUCUCCCAAAGUUUUCCAUAUACAGAUAUAAGCAGGUUUGAUUCCAUAUAUCAAUAGUCUUGCUAGAGGCACAUUAAUUGAAAAUACAUUACAUGAAUGACUUUAAGUGGGCAUUUUGCAUUUUAGGCAAUCAGCAUAUCAUUUGGACAAUAAAAUAAACAUCACCGCCAAAAAUAU
rnacentral:lncRNA from 1 species